AGAAUCAACGCUGGCGGCGUGCCUAACACAUGCAAGUCGCACGAGAAAGGGACUUCGGUCCUGAGUACAGUGGCGCACGGGUGAGUAACACGUGAAUAAUCUACCCCCCGAGUGGGGAAUAACUGAGAGAAAUCUUAGCUAAUACCGCAUAACACUUACGAGUCAAAGCAGCAAUGCGCUUGGAGAGGAGUUCGCGGCAGAUUAGUUAGUUGGCGGGGUAAUGGCCCACCAAGACGAUGAUCUGUAUCCGGCCUGAGAGGGCGCACGGACACACUGGAACUGAAACACGGUCCAGACUCCUACGGAGGCAGCAGUGGGGAAUUUUGCGCAAUGGGGGAAACCCUGACGCAGCAACGCCGCGUGGAGGAUGAAAUCCCUUGGGAUGUAAACUCCUUUCGAUCGGGAAGAUAAUGACGGUACCGAGAGAAGAAGCCCCGGCUAACUUCGUGCCAGCAGCCGC
rnacentral:rRNA from 1 species